GAUGAACGCUGGCGGCGCGCUUAACACAUGCAAGUCGAACGAAGCACCUUGAUUCGAUUCUUCGGAUGAAGAUCUUGGUGACUGAGUGGCGGACGGGUGAGUAACGCGUGGGUAACCUGCCUCAUACAGGGGGAUAACAGUUUGAAAUGACUGCUAAUACCGCAUAAGACCACAGCACCGCAUGGUGCAGGGGUAAAAACUCCGGUGGUAUGAGAUGGACCCGCGUCUGAUUAGGUAGUUGGUGGGGUAACGGCCUACCAAGCCGACGAUCAGUAGCCGACCUGAGAGGGUGACCGGCCACAUUGGGACUGAGACACGGCCCAAACUCCUACGGGAGGCAGCAGUGGGGAAUAUUGCACAAUGGGGGAAACCCUGAUGCAGCGACGCCGCGUGAGCGAUGAAGUAUUUCGGUAUGUAAAGCUCUAUCAGCAGGGAAGAAAAUGACGGUACCUGACGAAGAAGCACCGGCUAAAUACGUG
rnacentral:rRNA from 1 species